rnacentral:rRNA from 1 species
UACGGGGGGGGCAAGCGUUGUUCGGAAUUACUGGGCGUAAAGGGCUCGUAGGCGGCCAACUAAGUCGGACGUGAAAUCCCCAGGCUCAACCUGGGAACUGCGUCCGAUACUGGAUGGCUUGAAUUCGGGAGAGGGAUGCAGAGUUCCAGGUGUAGCGGUGAAAUGCGUAGAUAUCUGGAGGAAUACCGGUGGCGAAGGCGGCAUCCUGGACCGACAUUGACGCUGAGGAGCGAAAGCUAGGGGCGCAAACGGG